rnacentral:lncRNA from 1 species
UGACAAUUUCCAAAAUUAGAUUUUUUUUAAGUUUGCCUUUAAACUUGUUUUUUUUUAAUAUUUAUUACCAUUAAUCCAUAUUUUUAUUUGAAAGGGACUUUGCUUAUUUUUUAUUGUAGUUCAUUAUCUAACAGGAGGUUGGUUUUAAAUUGUUUUCUGAAACUGCAUCCCAACUUUUACUGUAAACUACUGAAGGGCCUCACAGUCCCAGCAAACGAGGGCAAGUGUCAUUUCGACAGCAGAGUUGGAAUGGAAGCAAAGGGCGGUGAAUUCUGGGAGCUGCUGUCUCUGGAGAUGUGCUCUGCGCAUGUGUGCAGAGGGAGACACUGGGGACACCAGACACGCUGGCUGCACCAGCCCUCGCUCCCCACAUCCUCCUCAAGAAGGCAGAGCGCCUGGGCAGGUUCCUCUCUUUCCACCCAACCUCCCAUCCUUCCGGGGCUCAGCGACUCUGACUCCCACACUCUUCUGGGAAGCAGCGCUUUUCGUGGGUCACCAUGGCAGCCGCAUCCGUGCGUCCACAGGGUCACUGGGUACGGGCGUCUGUCACCGUGAGGUGGACUCAAAGAUGGAUUUCAGGCUCUCGCGGUGCAGUCAGGUGAACAAACCCAGAAAUCCAGAGAGCUGGAGCGUGGAGUCAGGCCUACCUGGGCCCCACCAGUUACAUCGGGAGUGACAGUAGCCAUUUUUAAGGAUUAUGCUGAAGGACAUAUGUCAUGUGCAUACAAUAGCAGAUGGUCCAGAUGUGUAACAAGGAGAAAGUCAUAUCAACUAUUCGAUGCUUUGUUGACUGUUAGGAAAAGAAGAAAACUUGGGUGGUGUCCAGUGCAGGUCUGAGGGCCCCUGAGGCUGAAAUAAAGAGGUUAACCCACCCUUUUUUAUUUUGCGGCUGACUCUCAUUGUGGAAAAAGUUUGCAGUAAGAGGCA